rnacentral:rRNA from 1 species
CAGUAGCCACGGUAAAACGUAGGGUGCAAGCGUUAAUCGGAAUUACUGGGCGUAAAGCGUGCGCAGGCGGUUUGUUAAGACAGAUGUGAAAUCCCCGGGCUCAACCUGGGAACUGCAUUUGUGACUGGCAAGCUAGAGUCUGGCAGAGGGGGGUGGAAUUCCGCGUGUAGCAGUGAAAUGCGUAGAUAUGCGGAGGAACACCGAUGGCGAAGGCAGCCCCCUGGGCCAACACUGACGCUCAUGCACGAAAGCGUGGGGAGCAAACAGGAUUAGAUACCCCCGUAGUCCCUGUCUCUUAACA